rnacentral:rRNA from 1 species
UACGGAGGAUGCGAGCGUUAUCCGGAUUUAUUGGGUUUAAAGGGUGCGUAGGCGGCCAUUUAAGUCAGCGGUGAAAUUUUGCAGCUUAACUGUAACAGUGCCGUUGAUACUGUUUGGCUAGGAUUUGGUUGUAGUGUGCGGAAUGUGUGGUGUAGCGGUGAAAUGCUUAGAUAUCACACAGAACACCGAUUGCGAAGGCAGCACACUAAGUCAUUAUUGACGCUGAGGCACGAAAGUGUGGGGAUCAAACAGGAUUA